rnacentral:rRNA from 1 species
AUUGAACGCUGGCGGCAUGCCUUACACAUGCAAGUCGAACGGUAACAGGUCUUCGGAUGCUGACGAGUGGCGAACGGGUGAGUAAUACAUCGGAACGUGCCCAGACGUGGGGGAUAACGAGGCGAAAGCUUUGCUAAUACCGCAUACGAUCUAAGGAUGAAAGCAGGGGACCGCAAGGCCUUGUUCGUUUGGAGCGGCCGAUGGCAGAUUAGGUAGUUGGUGGGAUAAAAGCUUACCAAGCCGACGAUCUGUAGCUGGUCUGAGAGGACGACCAGCCACACUGGGACUGAGACACGGCCCAGACUCCUACGGGAGGCAGCAGUGGGGAAUUUUGGACAAUGGGCGAAAGCCUGAUCCAGCAAUGCCGCGUGCAGGAUGAAGGCCUUCGGGUUGUAAACUGCUUUUGUACGGAACGAAAAGGCUCUGGCUAAUACCUGGGGCACAUGACGGUACCGUAAGAAUAAGCACCGGCUAACUACGUG